rnacentral:rRNA from 1 species
AACGAAUGCUGGCGGCAUGCCUAACACAUGCAAGUCGAACGAGACCUUCGGGUCUAGUGGCGCACGGGUGCGUAACGCGUGGGAACCUGCCCUUAGGUUCGGAAUAACUCCCCGAAAGGGGUGCUAAUACCGGAUAAUGUCUUCGGACCAAAGAUUUAUCGCCUUUGGAUGGGCCCGCGUUGGAUUAGCUAGUUGGUAGGGUAAAAGCCUACCAAGGCGACGAUCCAUAGCUGGUCUGAGAGGAUGAUCAGCCACACUGGGACUGAGACACGGCCCAGACUCCUACGGGAAGCAGCAGUGGGGAAUAUUGGACAAUGGGCGAAAGCCUGAUCCAGCAAUGCCGCGUGAGUGAUGAAGGCCUUAGGGUUGUAAAGCUCUUUUACCCGGGAUGAUAAUGACAGUACCGGGAGAAUAAGCUCCGGCUAACUCCGUG